UUGAACGCUGGCGGCAGGCCUAACACAUGCAAGUCGAGCGGUAGAGAGAAGCUUGCUUCUCUUGAGAGCGGCGGACGGGUGAGUAAUGCCUAGGAAUCUGCCUGGUAGUGGGGGAUAACGCUCGGAAACGGACGCUAAUACCGCAUACGUCCUACGGGAGAAAGCAGGGGACCUUCGGGCCUUGCGCUAUCAGAUGAGCCUAGGUCGGAUUAGCUAGUUGGUGGGGUAAUGGCUCACCAAGGCGACGAUCCGUAACUGGUCUGAGAGGAUGAUCAGUCACACUGGAACUGAGACACGGUCCAGACUCCUACGGGAGGCAGCAGUGGGGAAUAUUGGACAAUGGGCGAAAGCCUGAUCCAGCCAUGCCGCGUGUGUGAAGAAGGUCUUCGGAUUGUAAAGCACUUUAAGUUAGGAGGAAGGGCAGUAACCUAAUACGUUGCUGCCUUGACGUUACCGACAGAAUAAGCACCGGCUAACUCUGUGCCAGCAGCCGCGGUAAUACAGAGGGUGCAAGCGUUAAUCGGAAUUACUGGGCGUAAAGCGCG
rnacentral:rRNA from 1 species